rnacentral:rRNA from 1 species
CAGCCGCCGCGGUGAUACGUAGGGGGCGAGCGUUGUCCGGAAUUAUUGGGCGUAAAGCGCGCGCAGGCGGUCCUUUAAGUCUGAUGUGAAAGCCCACGGCUCAACCGUGGAGGGUCAUUGGAAACUGGGGGACUUGAGUGCAGGAGAGGAGAGCGGAAUUCCACGUGUAGCGGUGAAAUGCGUAGAGAUGUGGAGGAACACCAGUGGCGAAGGCGGCUCUCUGGCCUGUAACUGACGCUGAGGCGCGAAAGCGUGGGGAGCAAACAGGAUUAGAUACCCUGGUAGUCCACGCCGUAAACGAUGAGUGCUAAGUGUUAGAGGGGUCACACCCUUUAGUGCUGUAGCUAACGCGAUAAGCACUCCGCCUGGGGAGUACGGCCGCAAGGCUGAAACUUAAAGGAAUUGGCGGG